GCAGCCAUGGCGGAACUGGUAGACGCGUACGUUUGAGGGGCGUAUGGUAAUCCCGUGUGAGUUCAAGUCUCACUGGCUGCACCA
rnacentral:tRNA from 2 species